rnacentral:rRNA from 1 species
CCUACGGGGGACAGCAGUGAGGAAUAUUGGUCAAUGGGCGCGAGCCUGAACCAGCCAAGUAGCGUGAAGGAUGACUGCCCUACGGGUUGUAAACUUCUUUUAUAAAGGAAUAAAGUGAGGCACGUGUGCCUUUUUGUAUGUACUUUAUGAAUAAGGAUCGGCUAACUCCGUGCCAGCAGCCGCGGUAAUACGGAGGAUCCGAGCGUUAUCCGGAUUUAUUGGGUUUAAAGGGAGCGUAGAUGGGUUGUUAAGUCAGUUGUGAAAGUUUGCGGCGCAACCGUAAAAUUGCAAUUGAUACUGGCAGCCUUGAGUACAGUUGAGGUAGGCGGAAUUCGUGGUGUAGCGGUGAAAUGCUUAGAUAUCACGAAGAACACCGAUUGCGAAGGCAGCUUACUAAACUGUGACUGACAUUGAUGCUCGAAAGUGUGGGUAUCAAACAGGAUUAGAUACCCUGGUAGUC